rnacentral:rRNA from 1 species
AGUGAACGCUGGCGGUAGGCCUAACACAUGCAAGUCGAACGGCAGCACAGUAAGAGCUUGCUCUUACGGGUGGCGAGUGGCGGACGGGUGAGGAAUACAUCGGAAUCUACUUUUUCGUGGGGGAUAACGUAGGGAAACUUACGCUAAUACCGCAUACGACCUACGGGUGAAAGCAGGGGAUCUUCGGACCUUGCGCGAUUGAAUGAGCCGAUGUCGGAUUAGCUAGUUGGCGGGGUAAAGGCCCACCAAGGCGACGAUCCGUAGCUGGUCUGAGGGGAUGAUCAGCCACACUGGAACUGAGACACGGUCCAGACUCCUACGGGAGGCAGCAGUGGGGAAUAUUGGACAAUGGGCGCAAGCCUGAUCCAGCCAUACCGCGUGGGUGAAGAAGGCCUUCGGGUUGUAAAGCCCUUUUGUUGGGAAAGAAAAGCAGCAGGUUAAUACCCCGCUGUUCUGGCGGUACCCAAAGAAUAAGCACCGGCUAACUUCGUG